GCGACCUGAGAGGAGGCUUCAGAGAGGAUGGCAGAUGUGUUGACGCCAUCAAGAUUAACGUUCGUCGAAAUGUUCAAGCAAGGCAUUUUCUCUGUCGACACUUCACAGCACUCACUUGUUAUUCUUCGCUGCACAUAAAACCCUCCUCCAAAUAAAAAUAAAUAAAAGA